rnacentral:rRNA from 1 species
UACGUAGGGGGGCAAGCGUUGUCCGGAUUUAUUGGGCGUAAAGAGCGUGUAGGCGGCCAGACAGGUCCGUUGUGAAAACUCGAGGCUCAACCUCGAGACGCCGAUGGAAACCGUCUGGCUAGAGUCCGGAAGAGGGAGAGUGAAUUCCUGGUGUAGCGGUGAAAUGCGCAGAUAUCAGGAAGAACACCCGUGGCUAAGGCGGCUCUCUAGUACGGUACUGACGCUGAGACGCGAAAGCGUGGGGAGCGAACAGG